rnacentral:rRNA from 1 species
CGGCGGCGGCCUACACAUGCAGUCGAGCGGUUGAGGGAGGCUUGCUUCCUGAUUCAGCGGCGGACGGGUGAGUAAUGCCUAGGAAUCUGCCUGGUAGUGGGGGACAACGUUUCGAAAGGAACGCUAAUACCGCAUACGUCCUACGGGAGAAAGCAGGGGACCUUCGGGCCUUGCGCUAUCAGAUGAGCCUAGGUCGGAUUAGCUAGUUGGUGAGGUAAUGGCUCACCAAGGCGACGAUCCGUAACUGGUCUGAGAGGAUGAUCAGUCACACUGGAACUGAGACACGGUCCAGACUCCUACGGGAGGCAGCAGUGGGGAAUAUUGGACAAUGGGCGAAAGCCUGAUCCAGCCAUGCCGCGUGUGUGAAGAAGGUCUUCGGAUUGUAAAGCACUUUAAGUUGGGAGGAAGAGCAGUCAGCGAAUACCUUGCUGUCUUGACGUUACCGACAGAAUAAGCACCGGCUAACUCUGUGCCAGCAGCCGCUGUAAU